AUGGAAGUGAUGAAUUUUUCCCCAGAUUAUCGAAGCUGAUUAAACUGAGCUAAUUUUAUUCUCUUUGAGAAUUCAAGCCAGAACUCUGAUCCAU
rfam:Beta vulgaris subsp. vulgaris Bvchr9_un.sca002.con0004.1, whole genome shotgun sequence.